rnacentral:misc_RNA from 1 species
CAGCCGAAGCGUUCGUACAGGUCAAGAUGGCGGAAGGCCGUAUCGAGAUCGUCGCGCCACAUCAGCCCGACCACCCGCCGUCCCAGCCAGACGCAUUCGGGAUUGCCGGCGGGGCCGUUGAUUGCCUGGGCCGCCUCGACGAACUCGUCGGCCUUGCGCUUGCUUUCCUUGGCUGCGUCAGCGGGAGCCGCCUGUUUGGGGGCCGUGUCCUGAGCCCGGAGGUCGCCGCUUUGAGCGAUUGCGGCUCCGAUACCG